UGAGGAAUAUUGCACAAUGGGCGCAAGCCUGAUGCAGCAACGCCGCGUGAGGGACGAAGGCCUUCGGGUCGUAAACCUCUUUUCUGGGGGACGAGUAAGGACGGUACCCCAGGAAUAAGUCUCGGCUAACUACGUGCCAGCAGCCGCGGUAAAACGUAGGAGGCGAGCGUUAUCCGGAUUUACUGGGCGUAAAGCGUACGCAGGUGGCUUCGUUAGUCGGACAUGAAAGCUCCUGGCUUAACUGGGAGAGGUUGUUCGAUACUGCGGGGCGUGAGGCGGGGAGAGGGACGUGGAAUUCCCGGUGGAGUGGUGGAAGGCGUAGAUAUCGGGAGGAACAACAGUGGCGCAAGCGGCGUCCUGGCCCACACCUGACGCUGAGGUACGAAAGCGUGGGUAGCAAACAG
rnacentral:rRNA from 1 species